rnacentral:misc_RNA from 1 species
UUCUUGCGUGGUGCCUCCUCUUUCGAGAGUGAGAAGCCCGCUGAGACAACUAACCCUUUGUGCAACCAAGAUGUUUUUUGGGUCGUAUUUCCGCAAGGAAGGCGGCCCAGCUGUAUUAAACAAACUAUAUCAAUUUGUCUUAUAUCUCUAUGAAAAUAGAAACAACUUUUGACAACGGUCUCUUGGCUCUCGCAUCGUAAAAACGCAGCAGUACAACUUUUAACCAUGAAUCUCUAGGCUCUUGCAUCGAUGA